rnacentral:rRNA from 1 species
CUACGUGCCAGCAGCCGCGGUAAUACGUAGGUGGCAAGCGUUGUCCGGAUUUAUUGGGCGUAAAGCGAGCGCAGGCGGUCAAUUAAGUCUGAUGUGAAAGCCCCCGGCUCAACCGGGGAGGGUCAUUGGAAACUGGUUGACUUGAGUGCAGAAGAGGAGAGUGGAAUUCCAUGUGUAGCGGUGAAAUGCGUAGAUAUAUGGAGGAACACCAGUGGCGAAGGCGACUCUCUGGUCUGUAACUGACGCUGAGGCUCGAAAGCGUGGGUAGCAAACAGGAUUAGAUACCCUGGUAGUCCACGCCGUAAACGAUGAGUGCUAAGUGUUGGAGGGUUUCCGGGGUUUAGUGCCGCAGCUAACGCAUUAAGCACUCCGCCUGGGGAGUACGACCGCAAGGUUGAAACUCAAAGGAAUUGACGGGGGCCCGCACAAGCGGUGGAGCAUGUGGUUUAAUUCGAAGCAACGCGAAGAACCUUACCAGGUCUUGAC